UGGGGAAGCAUCCAAAGGGAUCGCAUUGAUCCUUCCAUCCAUGGUGCUGGUGGCGGUCAUCAAUCGACCGGCUCGACGGAUCAUGCGAUCCUUUUGGAAGCUUCCUC
rnacentral:pre_miRNA from 1 species